rnacentral:rRNA from 1 species
UAGGGAAUCUUCGGCAAUGGGGGGAACCCUGACCGAGCAACGCCGCGUGAGUGAAGAAGGUUUUCGGAUCGUAAAGCCCUGUUGUUAAGGAAGAACGAGUGUGAGAAUGGAAAGUUCAUACUGUGACGGUACUUAACCAGAAAGGGACGGCUAACUACGUGCCAGCAGCCGCGGUAAUACGUAGGUCCCGAGCGUUGUCCGGAUUUAUUGGGCGUAAAGCGAGCGCAGGCGGUUAGAUAAGUCUGAAGUUAAAGGCAGUGGCUCAACCAUUGUAGGCUUUGGAAACUGUUUAACUUGAGUGCAGAGGGGGGGAGUGGAAUUCCAUGUGUAGCGGUGAAAUGCGUAGAUAUAUGGAGGAACACCGGUGGCGAAAGCGGCUCUCUGGUCUGUAACUGACGCUGAGGCUCGAAAGCGUGGGGAGCGAACAGG